AUACGGGGGGUGCAAGCGUUGUCCGGAAUCAUUGGGCGUAAAGGGUUCGUAGGUGGAAUUAUAAGUCUGGUGUGAAAGCCCACAGCUCAACUGUGGAACUGCACUGGAUACUGUUUUUCUUGAGUUAUAGAGGGGUUUGUGGAAUUUCUGGUGUAGAGGUGAAAUUUGUAGAGAUCAGAAAGAACACCGGUGGCGAAGGCGACAAACUGGCUAUUAACUGACACUGAGGGACGAAAGCGUGGGGAGCGAACAGGAUUAGAAACCCUAGUAGUCC
rnacentral:rRNA from 1 species